CAUUACGAUCCCCGAAGUUAAGCAACAUCGUGCUAAGUCAGUACUUAAAUGGGUAACUGCUUGGGAAUACCAGUUGUUGUAAG